UAUACAUCAAUAUCGCAUGAGAAGAUGUAGAAAGUCGCUCUUUGUGGCGACGCUUUUGGGAUGAGGGGUGCGACGUAUCAGAUAGUUGGGUGAGGUAAUGGCUCACCAAGUCAAUGACGCGUAGCUGUACUGAGAGGUAGAACAGCCACAAUGGGACUGAGACACGGCCCAUACUCCUACGGGAGGCAGCAGUAGGGAAUUUUUCACAAUGGGCGCAAGCCUUAUGAAGCAAUGCCGCGUGAACGAUGAAGGUCUUAUAGAUUGUAAAGUUCUUUUAUAUGGGAAGAAACGCUAAGAUAGGAAAUGAUUUAGUUUGACUGUACCAUUUGAAUAAGUAUCGGCUAACUAUGUGCCAGCAGCCGCGGUAAU
rnacentral:rRNA from 1 species